rnacentral:rRNA from 1 species
GUGAGGAAUAUUGGACAAUGGGCGCAAGCCUGAUCCAGCCAUGCCGCGUGCAGGAAGACGCAUCUAUGGUGUGUAAACUGCUUUUGUACGGGAAGAAACACUCCCUCGUGAGGGAGCUUGACGGUACCGUAAGAAUAAGGAUCGGCUAACUCCGUGCCAGCAGCCGCGGUAAUACGGAGGAUCCAAGCGUUAUCCGGAAUCAUUGGGUUUAAAGAGUCCGUAGGCGGUUUAAUAAGUCAGUGGUGAAAGCCCAUCGCUCAACGAUGGAACGGCCAUUGAUACUGUUAGACUUGAAUUACAAGGAAGUAACUAGAAUAUGUAGUGUAGCGGUGAAAUGCUUAGAUAUUACAUGGAAUACCAAUUGCGAAGGCAGGUUACUACUUGUGGAUUGACGCUGAUGGACGAAAGCGUGGGGAGCGAACAGGAUUAGAUACCCUGGUAGUCC